rnacentral:rRNA from 1 species
CCCUUAGAUGUUCUGGGCCGAACGCGUGCUACACUGAGUGGAUCAGCGGGUCAGGUUGCGCGAAAGCGUUUCCUAAUCUUUAAAUCCGCUCGUGAUGGGGAUUGACGGUUGCAAUUUUCUGUCAUGAACGAGGAAUACCUUGUAAGCGCGGGUCAUCAUCCCGCGCUGAAUACGUCCCUGCCCUUUGUACACACCGCCCGUCGCUCCUACCGAUUGAGUGGUCCGGUGAGGCUUUGGGAUCUGAGCGGAAAGAGCGUUUCGCUGUUUCUGCUCGGAAAACUCAGUCGAACCUUAUCAUUUAGAGGAAGGAGAAGUCGUAACA